rnacentral:rRNA from 1 species
AUACAUGCAAGUCGAACGCUUUUUUCAAUCUCGUAGCUUGCUACACCGAUUGAAAAUUGAGUGGCGAACGGGUGAGUAACACGUGGGUAACCUGCCCAAAAGAGGGGGAUAACACUUGGAAACAGGUGCUAAUACCGCAUAACCAUGAUGACCGCAUGGUCAUUAUGUAAAAGAUGGUUUCGGCUAUCACUUUUGGAUGGACCCGCGGCGUAUUAACUUGUUGGUGGGGUAACGGCCUACCAAGGUAAUGAUACGUAGCCGAACUGAGAGGUUGAUCGGCCACAUUGGGACUGAGACACGGCCCAAAACUCCUACGGGAGGCAGCAGUAGGGAAUCUUCCACAAUGGGCGCAAGCCUGAUGGAGCAACGCCGCGUGAGUGAAGAAGGUCUUCGGAUCGUAAAACUCUGUUGUUA